rnacentral:lncRNA from 1 species
GGAGCUCUACGGUGAUUUUGAAGACUUGGAAACGGGACGUGCACAAGGGAAAAUCGGGCCCCGACACUCAGAAUGAAGAUAUAGAGAAACAAGGAAGAAAUUGACCCUGACGAAGAAGAAAGUGCCAAGAAAAAGCAUUUGGAUAAGAAGAGAAAAUUGAAGGAGAUGUUUGAUGCAGAAUAUGAUGAAGGAGAAAGCACAUAUUUUGAUGAUCUUAAAGGAGAAAUGCAGAAAGAAGCACAGAUGCGUCUGAAGAAACAUCGCUGGUAUAAGAAAAUCCUCAAGUCCCAAGAUCCAAUCAUAUUUUCUGUAGGGUGGAGGAGGUUUCAGACCAUCCUGCUCUAUUAUAUCGAAGACCACAAUGGAAGACAAAGGCUUCUAAAGUAUACGCCACAGCACAUCCAUUGUGGAGCAGCCUUUUGGGACCCUAUCACUCCACAGGGAACUGGUUUCUUGGCAAUACAGUCUGUCAGUGGCAUAAUGCCUGAUUUUCGGAUAGCUGCCACAGGAGUUGUCCUUGAUCUGGAUAAAUCCAUAAAAGUUGUGAAGAAAUUAAAGCUAACUGGUUUUCCAUAUAAAAUUUUCAAGAACACUUCAUUUAUUAAGGGAAUGUUUAAUUCUGCCUUGGAAGUGGCCAAAUUUGAAGAUGCUGUGAUUCGAACUGUCAGUGGGAUAAGGGGGCAGAUCAAGAGAGCACUCUGAGCUCCAGAAGGAGCUUUCCAGGAUAGCUUUGAGGAUAAGCUGCGGAUGAGCGAUAUUGUCUUCAUGCGAACUUGGUAUCCUGUUUCCAUCCCAGCCUUCUAUAACCCAGUAACAUCUUUGUUGAAACCAGUGGGUGAGAAAGACACCUGGUCAGGAAUGUGGACCACGGGCCAACUCAGGCUCGCCCAUGGUGUCAGACUAAAGACAAACAAGGACUCUCUGUAUAAGGUACUGGUCGUGUGUGUGUUAGUGGAGAUGAAGCCUGUGCUCUACAGACAGUGAGUCACACAGACACUUUUCUAUAAUUUCUUACAUACUUUGAAUGUUCAAGUAUAAAGUCUAAUGUUAAAUUUGAUUGAACAAUUGUAUAUUUGUGGGAUAUUUUGGAAUGGAACACCAAAAAAUGGUAA